rnacentral:lncRNA from 10 species
AAAAGUUUGCUGACCGUGAAAGGUUGGCUUUUCUGUUUCCCACAAGAGAGUCUACAUAGUUCUGGAUAUAGCAGACAAUAAGAUUGAACAGGAUCUAAGCAUCCAUCCAGGGAAGAAAGAGUUCCAGUUAAAGAGAAAGAAAACCUUUUAGUUCCAAAGGAUAAUCAGACUUCUAUACAAGUCACACAUUAGGGCAGCUGCACACAUACAUAUCAAGUGUCUAAGAUGCACACAGACUUAUCCAGGCAUGUGGGGUUGAGAAUGAGUAGAAACAACCAGGCCAUUCAUGAGAAAUAUAGAAAAGCUAUUUUCUUUUCUUUCUUUUCUUUUCUUUUCUUUUUUUUUUUUU